CCUGCCCCAGAGGCAUUGAAAGUGUGCCUGCUGUGUCACCUGUCAGUAGAUGGCAGAGAGGAGAAAGGCUACGUCUAUGCUCAGUGUUCUGACCUUGAACAUCUGAAUCAUUAGUAGUUUAACAGU